rnacentral:rRNA from 1 species
GAAGUUGAAGUGGUUGUGAAGAUGCAAUCUACCCGCUGCUAGACGGAAAGACCCCGUGAACCUUUACUGUAGCUUUGCAUUGGACUUUGAAGUCACUUGUGUAGGAUAGGUGGGAGGCUUGGAAGCAGAGACGCCAGUCUCUGUGGAGUCGUCCUUGAAAUACCACCCUGGUGUCUUUGAGGUUCUAACCCAGACCCGUCAUCCGGGUCGGGGACCGUGCAUGGUAGGCAGUUUGACUGGGGCGGUCUCCUCCCAAAGCGUAACGGAGGAGUUCGAAGGUUACCUAGGUCCGGUCGGAAAUCGGACUGAUAGUGCAAUGGCAAAAGGUAGCUUAACUGCGAGACCGACAAGUCGGGCAGGUGCGAAAGCAGGACAUAGUGAUCCGGUGGUUCUGUAUGGAAGGGCCAUCGCUCAACGGAUAAAAGGUACUCCGGGGAUAACAGGCUGAUUCCGCCCAAGAGUUCAUAUCGACGGCGGAGUUUGGCACCUCGAUGUCGGCUCAUCACAUCCUGGGGCUGUAGUCGGUCCCAAGGGUAUGGCUGUUCGCCAUUUAAAGUGGUACGUGAGCUGGGUUUAAAACGUCGUGAGACAGUUUGGUCCCUAUCU